rnacentral:rRNA from 1 species
UAUGCCUACGGGACGCAGCAGUGAGGAAUAUUGGUCAAUGGGCUUACGCCUGAACCAGCCAAGUCGCGUGAGGGAAGACUGCCCUAUGGGUUGUAAACCUCUUUUGUCAGGGAGCAAUUGGCGCUACGUGUAGCGUUAUCGAGAGUACCUGAAGAAAAAGCAUCGGCUAACUCCGUGCCAGCAGCCGCGGUAAUACGGAGGAUGCGAGCGUUAUCCGGAUUUAUUGGGUUUAAAGGGUGCGUAGGCGGGACGGUAAGUCAGCGGUAAAAAUGCGGAGCUCAACUCCGUCGAGCCGUUGAAACUGC